rnacentral:rRNA from 1 species
AUGGCUUUAGUACAUGAUCUUUGGUUGCCAAGUAGUUUGGACAUGAUAAGAGGGCCAAUUUGGCCAUCUAUUGAGGCCAAAAAUUUUGAGUUGAGGCCUGAACUUAUUGCUCUUGUCUUGCAGAAUCAGUUUAGAGGAUUACCCAAUGAAGACCCUCAUGAGCACAUUAGUAAUGUUUUGGAGUAUGCCAAUACAGUCCAGUACCAUGGCGUUUCCCAAGAUGCUAUCAAGUGUAUGUUGUUCACAUUCUCUCUCAAAGAUGCUGCUAAGGACUGGUACUAUUCUUUGCCAUCAAGAUCAUACACUUGGGGUGAUAUUUCGCAAGCUUUCCUGCAUAGAUAUUUUCCACUUUACAAGCAAGCUGCAAUUCGUGACCAGAUCCUUAGUUUUGUGCAAGAUGGAAGUGAGAGCUUGUAUGCAGCUUGGGAUAGAUAUAAGUAUUUGCUUAGAAAAUGUCCUAAUCAUGGGCAAAAGGAUUGGUUAGUGCUUCAGAUAUUCUAUAGAGGGCUGACACAUGCUUCAAGAGAUCUUAUUGAUAUGUCAGCUGGUGGAACAAUCACGAACAAGACCGUUGAGGGUGCAGUUAUUCUCAUUGAGAGCAUUGCCUUCCACCAAAUGCAAUGGGGUUAUGAAAGGCCUAGUUGA